UACGGAGGGUGCGAGCGUUANUCGGAAUUACUGGGCGUAAAGCGCACGCAGGCGGUUUGUUAAGCUAGAUGUGAAAGCCCCGGGCUCAACCUGGGAUGGUCAUUUAGAACUGGCAGACUAGAGUCUUGGAGAGGGGAGUGGAAUUCCAGGUGUAGCGGUGAAAUGCGNAGAUAUCUGGAGGAACAUCAGUGGCGAAGGCGACUCNCUGGCCAAAGACUNACGCUCAUGUGCGAAAGUGUGGGUAGCGAACAGU
rnacentral:rRNA from 1 species